GAUGAACGCUGGCGGCGUGCUUAACACAUGCAAGUCGAACGGAAAGGCCCAAGCUUGCUUGGGUACUCGAGUGGCGAACGGGUGAGUAACACGUGGGUGAUCUGCCCUGCACUUCGGGAUAAGCCUGGGAAACUGGGUCUAAUACUGGAUAGGACCACUUCUUGGAUGUUGUGGUGGAAAGUUUUUUCGGUGUGGGAUGAGCUCGCGGCCUAUCAGCUUGUUGGUGGGGUAAUGGCCUACCAAGGCGUCGACGGGUAGCCGGCCUGAGAGGGUGUACGGCCACAUUGGGACUGAGAUACGGCCCAGACUCCUACGGGAGGCAGCAGUGGGGAAUAUUGCACAAUGGGCGCAAGCCUGAUGCAGCGACGCCGCGUGGGGGAUGACGGCCUUCGGGUUGUAAACUCCUUUCGCUAGGGACGAAGCGUUUUGUGACGGCACCUGGAGAAGAAGCACCGGCUAACUACGUG
rnacentral:rRNA from 1 species